AUGAACGCUGGCGGCGUGCCUAAUACAUGCAAGUCGAGCGAACGGACGAGAAGCUUGCUUCUCUGAUGUUAGCGGCGGACGGGUGAGUAACACGUGGAUAACCUACCUAUAAGACUGGGAUAACUUCGGGAAACCGUAGCUAAUACCGGAUAAUAUUUUGAACCGCAUGGUUCAAAAGUGAAAGACGGUCUUGCUGUCACUUAUAGAUGGAUCCGCGCUGCAUUAGCUAGUUGGUAAGGUAACGGCUUACCAAGGCAACGAUGCAUAGCCGACCUGAGAGGGUGAUUGGCCACACUGGAACUGAGACACGGUCCAGACUCCUACGGGAGGCAGCAGUAGGGAAUCUUCCGCAAUGGGCGAAAGCCUGACGGAGCAACGCCGCGUGAGUGAUGAAGGUCUUCGGAUCGUAAAACUCUGUUAUUAGGGAAGAACAUAUGUGUAAGUAACUGUGCACAUCUUGACGGUACCUAAUCAGAAAGCCACGGCUAACUACGUG
rnacentral:rRNA from 1 species